GACUGGCCCCUGGGAUUUGCUGCUCAGUUCACUGAGACAUCAGGAGCAAGCACUGGAGGCCGGUGCUGCUGGACCCAGAUGGGAGCCAUGCAGGACUUGACCAUGGCCUGCAUACACUUCUUCCCAGGAGAAGGGGAAUGAGGAAGAACUGGACGAUGAAUUUUAACCUCCACACCACAAGCACUGGGGUAGAAGACUGCUGCUGGGUGAAGAAGAGACUAGACUUGAUCAUUGAGCAGCCACUCACUGAUAUCUUCAGUGCUGCAUGAGGAAGCAGAGUUUAUUCUUCUGGAUUUGGUGGUGGAUUCUGGUGAAGAUACAGAUGGAUGCUCUGGCUGAGUCGCUACCUUGAAAUGAAAAUGGGAGGUAAACUCUCCCAUAGAUGAAUCUUCCUCAUUUUGAAGAACCGGCCCCUGGGAUUUGCUGCUCAGAACCUGAGUUCACUGAGACAUCAGGAGCAAGCACUGGAGGCCAGGUGCUGCUGGACCCAGAUGGGAGCCAUGCAGGACUUGACCAUGGCCUGCACACACUUCUUCCCAGGAGAAGGGGAAUGAGGAAG
rnacentral:lncRNA from 1 species